UCCCUGCUGGCUUAGAUGGUAAAGAAUCUGUCUGCAAUACAGGAGAUCCGGGUUCAAACCCUGGGUCGGAAA
rnacentral:tRNA from 1 species